AUGAUGUCUCCAGUAACUCUGAUUGCUCUGUUGGGUUUUCUCACUCAGGCUUCAUCUGCCAACAAUUUCCUGACUCAGUCUGAAAGAUCAAAGUCAGUGAGUGUUGGAGCCACUGUGACCAUCAGCGCCACAGGAAGCUCUAAUAUUGGUCCUGAUCUGAGUUGGUACCUUCAGAAACCCGGACAGCCUCCCAAACUUCUUAUAUACAGCGCUUCAACACUGUUCUCAGGAACUCCAUCUAGAAUCAGAGGCAGUAGAUCUGGAUCUGAUUACACUUUAACCAUCAGUGGAGUUCAGGCUGAGGAUGCGGGAGAUUAUUACUGUCUGGGCAACCAUGGUGGUGGUUUUCUAUCACUGUGGUGGACUUUUGGUGGAGGAACCAAACUCAUCGUUGACUUGGGUGUGGUGCGUCCCACCCUGACCGUCCUCCCCCCCUCCAAAGAGGAGCAGCAGCAGAGCAGUGUCACACUGGUGUGUCUGGCCAGCGGGGGCUUCCCUUCAACCUGGAGGCUGGGCUGGAAGGUGGGGGGCAGCAGCAGGUCCUCAGGGGUGUCUAACAGCCUGGAGGUCCUGGGGAGGGACGGCCGCUACAGCUGGAGCAGCACCCUGAGCCUCCCUGCAGACCAGUGGAGGAAGGCGGGCUCAGUGAGCUGUGAGGCCAAUCAGAGUGGACAGAGUCCUGUCACUCAAACCCUGGACCCUAACCGCUGCUCAGAGUAGAGCUGCAGCUUCUUGUCUGGAAAUCAUCAUGUUCUUGUAUUUUAUCACAUUGACUUUUCAUGUUCAUUGAGUUUUCUAUUACUACUGCCACCUUUGUUCUGUCUGCCAACUUUAAGUUUGUAUAAAAACAAUCAAAUUUAAUAAAACUAUAGA